AAAUCAAACAUGAAAGAUGACCAUGCGGUUGGUUGAUGCUCUGAAACAGAAGCAAUAAUGGGAAUAUGGUCUUUCGCGUAAGUUGGAUCCAGUAGUGAGUAAAACCGACCGGUCCAUGGAGAGAUAUAACCAGAAGCAGUCCCAACUCCAAGAGCAAUGACACCGACACUUAUAGCACAAGUUAAUGUUAUCCUUAAGAAAGCUUGAAACAACUUCUGAUCAUUCAGUAGAUGUUUCACCCAAUCCAAGAAAUAAAACACCUGCAUCAAGAAAAAUACUCCCAUUGCUGCCAUAUGUUCUCCCGACUGUACAUGCUGAAAACCCACAAAACGAAUUUGCAUUGCUAGCAACAUUCCUAAAAUGUACAUGCAGUUGUAAGCCACAUAUAGCCUCAUCGAAUAUCUUCCGACAACCAAGAGUACCAGCACAUACAGUGGAAUAAGAUUAAUGAUAAAUACAUAACCACCCCAAGCUGAAACCAUGUAGAAGUACCCUAAUGCUGAGCCCAGAGACCAAGCAAGUGAACCUGUUUUCACUGCCUUAACAAAUAAAUAGAAAGUAAGCAGCAGUGCAAAUAUAGCAACCCCCUCAUUGUCAUAUGAUCCUGCCACCGACCUUGAGAUGUAACCAGGACAGAUAGCAAUCAAUGCUGCAGCCACAAGCCCAGCACCCGUAUCCCAUAACUCUUUCCCAAAGAAGUAAGCAACAAGAGUUGUGUUGGAAGCAAAGAAUGGUGCUGUGAGCACACAUACCUCACGGAUAUGGACAGCAAACCUGAGGAAUCUAAGUAUCCAGUAGAUAAAGGCAGCAGUGACCAUAAGUCCAGGAUAAAGCGUACCACCAAUGAUCCUUCCAAGUGGAUACCAACUCUCGGAGUCGAACCAGUUCCAGAACUCGUAAAAACCUUUCUGAGUCAAAUACAAGGUCGUCCUGUAAUUGAAAUACGGAUCGAAUUCAUGGAUCAUGCUCUCAUAUCUGAGCACACUGAAGAGGCGAGUGAUAAAUGCGAGAAUGUAGACGAGUCCGAGGAUCGAAAUUCGAAGGAGAAGCUCCUGUUGCUUCGUCUUCAGCUUUAGAGAUUUGAGUGAGAAGAAUGACUGCGAUGAGGAAAGCAGAUCCGUUGCUUUCUCCAUUUCUGCGAGAGAUUAGAUCUACUACUAAUUCAGCUCAAUUGAUGAACAGAAUGCGAAUUUUCGAUUCGAAUUUGCCGAGUUUUGGAUCUUUGUUACAUUUAUGAGCGAUGGAUCAAAACACAAACCCUACUGAAACGCCAGUGAUAGUACUCUAUGAAUCAUGGAAGGAUCCUCAGAGCAAG
rnacentral:misc_RNA from 1 species